GCAACCUCUCUGUUUUCUGGGAAGUUUAAAUGUGUCAGCAAGGUAAUGUAGAUGUUAUAUUGGUUAUAUAGUGUAUGUUAUGUAAAUAAAUCUAAACCUUUAUAAACUUAAAAAUAUUCCACAGAUGUUGUUUCCGGCUGAGGACAUUUGGUUGUGCCCACUGAACUCUGGUGCACACUGGAUCCUUGUGGUACAUGUUCACACCUCAUGUGUUUUUUCUCUUUUUUGUUUUACUGUUCUUUUUAGCAGCAUAUUCUUAUUUUGAAAAUGCUUACAAUUGAUUAUGUUUACUUAAGUGAGUGUAAUACACAUAUUCUACUAAAUACAAUUUUUAUUUUAGGUUGUCAAAAUCUCCUCACAAUCUGUACUGCUGUUAGACCCUCUUGGAAAUGAAGGUUGUUAUGAAAGGAAAGUUAUGCGUAACUGGAGGUAUUCAUCAUUCAUAAAUUUUCUGUUUUGGGUUGUUUGGUUUGUGGGGGUUUUUUUCUUUUUAUUUAGAGCAAAAUGCUGGCUACAUUUUAAAAACUUGUUUUAUUUUUAUUAGGAAUUUUCUGAGGAUGAAAGGAAAGGAGGAGUCCCGAGUGGACCAUAUCAAUAUCAAGUCAUUCUGAUUUUGCUUUCAAAAAUAAAAGCCCUUUCAAAUUGUCCACAAUUUACCUAACUUUCUGUGAUUUCAAAAUGCUCUAAAAUGGAAAAUUCCUGUUUCCACAGGGUAAUUCCACUUUAGAUCAACAGUAUACAGACCCACAGUGAUACCAUAUCAAUAUCAAGUCAUUCUGAUUAUGCUUUCAAAAAUAAGUCUUUUAAAAUUGCCCAUAUCUGACUUACUCUUGGAACAAUUUCAAAAUGCUCUUAAAUAGAAUUUUGCUGUUUCCACAGGCUAAUUCCACUUUAGAUCAACAGUAUCCAACCCCACAGUGAUACCAUA
ensembl:lncRNA